AAAGGCCUUUGAAGUUAAACUAAAUCUAUAUUUUAGUUUGUUUAAAGUAAAUAUCACAAAAUUCAUAAAAGAAAGACCAUCGACUUUCUUUUUGAUUUUUAUAGUUUCUAGAGUUUCUUUUAGAGCUUAAAUAGGUUGACACAGCCGAAAAAUCAAUCCUGUCAUUAUCAGUAAACAGGGUUUAAGGGUGUGUAACCAAAGUAGGGAUGAAGAUAACCCUUUCUUAUUUUGGAAAAGUGGCUCCUCUAGAUGGCAAAAAAAGAGUGGUGGCAAAAUAUUUAAUUGCAUUAACAAUUAGAAAUUUUGUAGUUUGUUAAUCUACAUAUUGUAGA